rnacentral:rRNA from 1 species
UACGUAGGGUGCGAGCGUUAAUCGGAAUUACUGGGCGUAAAGCGUGCGUAGGCGGUUUUGUAAGUCAGGGGUGAAAUCCCCGGGCUUAACCUGGGAACUGCGCUUGUGACUGCAAGACUCGAGUACGGCAGAGGGGGGUAGAAUUCCACGUGUAGCAGUGAAAUGCGUAGAGAUGUGGAGGAAUACCGAUGGCGAAGGCAGCCCCCUGGGUCGAUACUGACGCUCAUGCACGAAAGCGUGGGGAGCAAACAGG